rnacentral:rRNA from 1 species
UACGUAGGGGGCUAGCGUUGUCCGGAAUCAUUGGGCGUAAAGCGCGCGUAGGCGGCUUCGUAAGUCCGUUGUGAAAGUCAAAGGCUCAACCUUUGAAAGCCGAUGGAUACUGCGGAGCUAGAGUACGGAAGAGGCGAGUGGAAUUCCUGGUGUAGCGGUGGAAUGCGCAGAUAUCAGGAGGAACACCAAUAGCGAAGGCAGCUCGCUGGGACGUUACUGACACUGAGGCGCGAAAGCGUGGGGAGCGAACAGG